AAAAUCAUAAUUAUGUUACGUGAACAUAUAAUAAUCACAAUAAUAGAUUUGUUAAUACAUGCCUAAAUAAUAGCAGUGAUUUGACACAAGUUAGCGUUAUUUAUCAAAGAAUGAUGGACCACGCUUACGAAUUUCAAAACUUUAGGCUGCUUGGUUCAAGUCAAUUGCUCACUAAAUAUCUAAAGCCCAAAUUACAAAUUUGAUUGCCAAACUUAUGUUCGUUUCAUUUUAGCCAAGAAAUAUGUGGUCCAAUUAAAUCUUAACUGUCCGUGCGGUCCAAAAUCUAUACUAACACAAA
rnacentral:lncRNA from 1 species